rnacentral:rRNA from 1 species
GGCGGUAUGCUUAACACAUGCAAGUCGAACGGUGCUUUCGGGCACAGUGGCGGACGGGUGAGUAACGCGUGAGAAUCUGGCUCUAGGUCUGGGACAACCACUGGAAACGGUGGCUAAUACCGGAUGUGCCCUAAUUGGGUGAAAGGUUAACUGCCUGGAGAUGAGCUCGCGUCUGAUUAGCUAGUAGGUGUGGUAAAGGCGCACCUAGGCGACGAUCAGUAGCUGGUCUGAGAGGACGAUCAGCCACACUGGGACUGAGACACGGCCCAGACUCCUACGGGAGGCAGCAGUGGGGAAUUUUCCGCAAUGGGCGAAAGCCUGACGGAGCAAUACCGCGUGAGGGAGGAAGGCUCUUGGGUCGUAAACCUCUUUUCUCAGGGAAGAACACAAUGACGGUACCUGAGGAAUAAGCAUCGGCUAACUCCGUGCCAGCAGCCGCGGUAAUACGGAGGAUGCAAGCGUUAUCCGGAAUGAUUGGGCGUAAAGCGUCCGCAGGUGGCUGUGUAAGUCUGCUGUUAAAGAGUCUAGCUCAACUAGAUAAGAGCAGUGGAAACUACACGGCUAGAGUACGUUCGGGGCAGAGGGAAUUCCUGGUGUAGCGGUGAAAUGCGUAGAGAUCAGGAAGAACACCGGUGGCGAAGGCGCUCUGCUAGGCCGUAACUGACACUGAGGGACGAAAGCUAGGGGAGCGAAUGGGAUUAGAUAC